CAUGGCAGUGAGGAUGUACCGUUUACCUCUUUCUGCGUGGGGAAACGGUCCAUGGACAUCAAUCUUCACCCUCCUCCAUGGGUCUUUCCGCUGGAAACUGUUGGAGCUGAGCAUGAGAUCUGCCUGCCGGCCCUUUACAUGUCUCAGCGGCGUCAGUAGUCCUCCAUAUCCUGCCGCUGCCAGGCAGCCCCCAGUAGAACCCCUGACCAGCGGCGGAAAUACACGAGGGCAAAGGACCAAAUUGCCCCCAAGAAAUACCAUUUUGCCUCCGACAACACAAGGGGAAGGGCAAAAAAUGCACCCAUAAUUUCCUCCAACAAUAAUUACAAUUUAGUUAACAAAAACAUCGUAGCCGUGGACCACAAAUUCUUCUGAAUUCAUCAAGGGGAGCGAAUGCAUUGAGAAAUACGUGUCCUUUCGUCACCAGACGGCCGAGCAACAUUCGCUGUUUCUGGUCUUUUUUUUUAUCGAGCGCCUGCAAAAUGUUUCCAUGGAUCAUGGUUCUAUCUGGACCCUGUUCCUGCCUCCUGCCAUGACACCUGCUGCUGGCUUCUGUGGAUGGUGGUUGUCCCUGCAGUGGUCCUGCCGUACACCUGGCUUACUACAGAACAUGCAGUCAGUUCGUGGUCAGAGGUCCUCUCUUCCCUGAUGAUCCCUCCUCAGCGCUGGCUGCUGCGCUCUGCCUAAGACUGGACACAGAGGGGGAUUAGCCUAGCCUUUGAUCGAUUAGCCUCCCAGCUCAAGGCUGGCGGCAGCAGAUAGGGUGAUGCUGAUUGGAUAAAAUGUGCCGUAACUUGUUUUUCACUUCUGUGUCACUACCAUAAUCUGCCGAGAUAAAACGAGCCAGUAAGGACUUGAACACGAGUGACGGUUAAGAAUGGCACUGAUGUGAAAAUGAAAUAAUAGCAUUUAUUAAUGUUAAAUGAACACAGAACAAUAAUACAUUUUGAUUAAAGGAACUCCAAAAUCUCAUAUGAGCGGAAGAGAGAGGAACUGUGCAUUUGAUUGGGUCCUCUUUCCCUUACCUCCUGAUGGGGUAAGGGAAAAUUUUGUGUUUAUUUGAGUAACAUGAAUUUUAUCCUAAUGAUUCAAGGGUUUAUUUUAUUUGGUCAGCACACCACCUGUCAAAUGAUGACACGCACGCUUGGAGGUAAUUUGGUAUAAAGCAGAGGAGCAUGACACUGACAUAUUUUGUUGAACAAAUAUCAAUCAGAGCUGGAUGAGUUUGUUGAACAAAUCAUCUUGUUUGCUUUGUUAGAAAGGAACAAUAAACAGCCCCACAUGUACGUGUCAGGAUCUUCCUUUCCACACCAUGAUCUCAGCCUUUGGCAUGCUGACCUGUUAUCUUUGAAAACCCAGAAGAGUCUUU
ensembl:lncRNA